UGGGGAAUAUUGCACAAUGGGGGAAACCCUGAUGCAGCGACGCCGCGUGGAGGAAGAAGGUUUUCGGAUUGUAAACUCCUGUUGUUGGGGAAGAUAAUGACGGUACCCAACAAGGAAGUGACGGCUAACUACGUGCCAGCAGCCGCGGUAAAACGUAGGUCACAAGCGUUGUCCGGAAUUACUGGGUGUAAAGGGAGCGCAGGCGGGAAGACAAGUUGGAAGUGAAAUCCAUGGGCUCAACCCAUGAACUGCUUUCAAAACUGGUCGUCUUGAGUAGUGCAGAGGUAGGCGGAAUUCCCGGUGUAGCGGUGGAAUGCGUAGAUAUCGGGAGGAACACCAGUGGCGAAGGCGGCCUACUGGGCACCAACUGACGCUGAGGCUCGAAAGUGUGGGUAGCAAACAGGAUUAGAUACCCUGGUAGUCCACACCGUAAACGAUGAUUACUAGGUGUUGGGAGAUUGACCCUCUCAGUGCCGCAGUUAACACAAUAAGUAAUCCACCUGGGGAGUACGACCGCAAGGUUGAAACUCAAAGGAAUUGACGGGGGCCCGCACAAGCAGUGGAGUAUGUGGUUUAAUUCGACGCAACGCGAAGAACCUUACCAAGUCUUGACAUCCUCUGACGAACGUAGAAAUACGUUUUCUCUUCGGAGCAGAGAGACAGGUGGUGCAUGGUUGUCGUCAGCUCGUGUCGUGAGAUGUUGGGUUAAGUCCCGCAACGAGCGCAACCCUUAUGGUCAGUUACUACGCAAGAGGACUCUGGCCAGACUGCCGUUGACAAAACGGAGGAAGGUGGGGAUGACGUCAAAUCAUCAUGCCCUUUAUGACUUGGGCUACACACGUACUACAAUGGCGUUAAACAAAGAGAAGCAAGACCGCGAGGUGGAGCAAAACUCAGAAACAACGUCCCAGUUCGGACUGCAGGCUGCAACUCGCCUGCACGAAGUCGGAAUUGCUAGUAAUCGUGGAUCAGCAUGCCACGGUGAAUACGUUCCC
rnacentral:rRNA from 1 species